AGUUUGAUCCUGGCUCAGAACGCAACGCUGGUCGGCGUGCUUAACACAUGCAAGUCGAACGCGAAAGAAUUCUUCGGAACUCGAGUAGAGUAGGCGCACGGGUGAGUAACGCGUAAGUAAUCUACCCUGGUGUCUGGAAUAACCUGCCGAAAGGUGAGCUAAUACCGGAUACGUUGAUUUAUCAAGAAAGAUGGCCUCUUCAUGAAAGCCAUUGCACCAGGAGGAGCUUGCGUACCAUUAGCUAGUUGGUAGGGUAAAGGCCUACCAAGGCGACGAUGGUUAGCGGGUCUGANGAGGAUGAUCCGCCACACUGGAACUGGAACACGGACCAGACUCCUACGGGAGGCAGCAGUGAGGAA
rnacentral:rRNA from 1 species